rnacentral:tRNA from 1 species
GGUGGGUUGGCUCAGUGGUUAGAGCGCAAGUCUCGUAACCGAAAGGUUGCGGGAUCGAAUCCAGCUAGAGGCUG